rnacentral:pre_miRNA from 1 species
AGAGGGAGUGCCGGAUUCUGGGCUGUGUCCCCAGCGCCCUGUGUUGCCGGGCCUGCGCUGUUGGAAUCGUGCUCCCGGCCGCGCAGCCCUCU